rnacentral:tRNA from 1 species
GCGGGUGUAAUUCAGUGGCAGAAUGCAAGCUUCCCAAGCUUGACACGGGAGUUCGAUUCUCCUCACCCGCUCCA